rnacentral:rRNA from 1 species
CCUACGGGGGGCUGCAGUGGGGAAUAUUGGACAAUGGGGGGAACCCUGAUCCAGCCAUGCCGCGUGUGUGAAGAAGGCCCUCGGGUUGUAAAGCACUUUCAGUGAGGAAGAACGCCUGGUGGUUAAUACCCAUCAGGAAAGACAUCACUCACAGAAGAAGCACCGGCUAACUCCGUGCCAGCAGCCGCGGUAAUACGGAGGGUGCGAGCGUUAAUCGGAAUUACUGGGCGUAAAGCGCGCGUAGGUGGCUUGAUAAGCCGGUUGUGAAAGCCCCGGGCUCAACCUGGGAACGGCAUCCGGAACUGUCAAGCUAGAGUGCAGGAGAGGAAGGUAGAAUUCCCGGUGUAGCGGUGAAAUGCGUAGAGAUCGGGAGGAAUACCAGUGGCGAAGGCGGCCUUCUGGAGUGACACUGACACUGAGGUGCGAAAGCGUGGGUAGCAAACAGGAUUAGAUACCCCAGUAGUC